rnacentral:piRNA from 1 species
UGACAUGUGAUAAGAGCACCUUCCCGUUU